CUACACACAGCUUCAAAGUGACACUGAGUGGGCUAAAGCCAAUGCUGACUGCCAUGUCAUUUCUGUGGAUCUACAGGGGGUGAUGUACACCCCUAAUCUGACCCACUCCAAUGUCUACUACCAGCGGCAGCUGUCAAAUUUUAACCUUUGCAUCCAGGAACUUGGAAAAGAAGAUCCUGCAUACAUGUGUGUUUGGCAUGAGGGGAUUGCACACCGAGGUUCCAUUGAGGUAGCAAGCUGCAUAUUGAAGUGGGUGAAGACAAAAUUCACGCCACUCCCCAAACCAGAGGUGCGCAAGUUGAUCAUCUUCAGUGACAGAUGCUGUGGGCAGAAUAACAACUGGCGGAUGCUCAAUCUGAUGUCGAUGCUCAUCUCUAUGGGUUACUUUACCCAAGUUGAACAGAAGUUCAUGGUCUCUGGUCAUUCUUUUCUUCCUUGUGAUCGAUCUUUUGCCACCAUUGAGAAGAGGCGCAAGGUGUCAGUCCUUCAUACACCUGAUGAUGUUUCAAAGAUGAUACUUGAAGCACAACCAGCAAAACCAUUCAAGGUGAUGAGGAUGCAAUGUGAAGACUUCAGGCACCUUCCAGAUUCUGUCCUCAAGCGACCAGCUGGACUACAGAUCACCUCAGUGAGGUGGUUAAAAGUCACAGGUAUUGGGAAAGGAAUCGAUCGCAAACAUUGGCUCAUUCUAAGAUCCGAUGACAGUAUAUCACAGUUGAGGAUCCUUGGAAUCUGUACGCCAGACAGAGCCACAGUCUAUUUGAGGGAUGGAAAUCGUGGCUGAUCUCCAAACCAAAACAAGGAGCUACACCUCAACCUCCCUAUUUUGCAAGCCACUACCCUAGAGCAUAUGAGAGUCCUCUGCCCAUCAAAAAAAACAAGUACCAAGAUCUGAUGACCAUGCUCAACUACUUGCCAGCUGCUGCACGCUCUUUUUAUAAAUCACUGCAGAGUGAAUAAUUUGAUGUUAAACCAAGCUACAUAAUUAACCGUUUUUUCUGUGAGUUUAUGAUCCCCUGAACCUGUAUAGUAUGUUGAAUCUGAAUACAUUUCAGAAAACAUGUCACCCCUAUUGUAGGAAUUUUCUAUGUGAAUCAAUUUGUGUAUGAUUUCAACCAGCACAAUAUAUUGAAUUAAUUUAAUUUUAAGAUGUUGUUCCUAGUGUAGAAAAUGUUAUGUACAAUGUGUUCUGUUGAGAAUGAUUUUGUGUGUGAUCAUUUGAACCUUUUUUAAAUCUGAAUUAAUUAAAAACAAACAAGUCAUCA